GUGCGUAAAGUGUUCCUUGGAUCGAACAGUUCGAACUAUGUCUCGGUUGGAACCUCCGAGGCCAUCUCCCUGUCCCGCACUCUGUUGUCCCCACUUGCUUCAAGCUGUUCACCAUUGUUCCUGUACCCAAGAAAGCGAAGGUGGCGAAUCGCAUCUCUGCAUGUCUGGCAGACAUAUCAGUGU